rnacentral:rRNA from 1 species
GGUCUACGCCAUACCACCCUGAACAUACCUGAUCUCGGAAGCUAAGCAGGGUCGGAUGAGAGAAGCCAGAACUCUCACCUUCUGCACCC